rnacentral:tRNA from 1 species
GCAUUAGUGGUUCAGUGGUAGAAUUCCCACCUUCCAUGCAGGAGACCUGGGUUUGAUUUCUAUCCAAUGCA